rnacentral:lncRNA from 1 species
GUGUCUGUUUACUUAUAUAGUAGAUGAUUUAGUGUGUAGAGUUUUAGCUUAUACACAGAGGAUUAAAUCAUCGGUUCUUAUAAGUAUAAAGUUUUUUGUUCACAAUCUAGGAUGGAAAUUGGACAUGCCAUCGGUACGAUUGUAGCACAAGAUUAUAUGUAAUUUAUCUUGAUUAUGGGAACGGUAUAGUUCCAACUUCUUGUGCUAGUGCAUUUUGUAUGUAUUGAACGGGACCGAGUAGAGAUAGUUGUUUUAGCAUAAUCUUGCAUCCCAAAUGACCCUGUCUAUUCCCUUGAGUCUUGACAACAACACAAGUCUAAAAAUUUGACAAUUUAAUUUUGAAUAAUGAUUGAUUUGAUGUGAAUUGUGAUCGUAUUGUUGUAUUAUUUUUUUAUAGUGUUAAAAAUAUUUCUCUAUUUAACUAACUAAAUAUAGAUAUAUUUCGAUCUGCUAUAUGACAUAGCAAGUAGUCUCGUAGGAGAAUGAGAUUGUUAAUAAAAAGCUCUCAAUCAGCCACAUAAAUAACAUAACAAGUGGUCUCAAACUGAACAUAGGGUUCUAAAUAAAAAAUCUAGAGUGAACUUAGCGAGAAUUUAGUGGUGUAUUCCACUCAUAUUACAAGAUCGGUUAAAUUUAAUUAAUCAAAUAAAUGAGUGUUUUUAAUAUUGUCCAUAGUUCAUGGAUAAAAGUAAUAAUUCACACAUAGUUUAAGAGGUUUUCAAUACUUCUAUCAUUAUUUAAUUAUUAUUUUUUUAUCUUACCUUUUAUAUAAUAGUUUUAUGCCUCCUCUACAACUCUACUUUUUUUUUGUUGAUUUAAUCCUUUAAAUUAUUAUGAUACGUGACAUUAUAUAUGUUGGGAUAUAUACUAUUAACCAUAUGCUAAGAUAUAAUAUUUAUUAUAGAAUAAAUAUUUGCUCAGUUUUAAUAGAUCAUAUAUUCGUUUAUGGUGUUUGUUUACUUAUAUAGUAGAUGAUUUAGUGUGUAGAGUUUUAGCUUAUACACAGAGGAUAAAAUCAUCGGUUCUUAUAACUAUAAAGUUGUUUGUUCACAAUCUAGGAUGAAAAUUGGACAUGACAUCGGUACAAUUGUAGCACAAGAUUAUAUGUAAUUUAUCUUGAUUAUGGAAACGGUAUAGUUCCAACUUCUUGUGCUAGUUCAUUUUGUAUGUAUUGAACGGGACCGAGUAGAGAUAGUUGUUUUAGACUGGCUGACAAAAAGAUAUUCUCUAAACUAUUAAAUGUACUUAUAUUCUUAAUCCUGAUAUAAUUAUUAUGAUCUGUAUAUAUUAAUUAUCGUUUUGAUUUAUUAAAGGUGAGAUUCUAAGAUGGGUCAAUAUGCCUGGUAAAUUGGAUGAUAAUAAUAUAUAUUGGUGAAAUAAUAAGUUAGUUGAUGGAAUUCAUGUCUCGUUAUAGAGAUUGAUUGAUAUGCCAUUUUAAAAAACUUAUAAGUUUUCAUCGUGUCAAACCUUGCAAGUAGAUUUAUGAAUCCGACACAUGAAAUAAAUUAAACAGUGCUCUAAAUGAAAUUAAUCAUUAAGUUAAAUUCGUCAGUAAUUUAAUUUUUUGAUUAGUAUCUGUAAUCUUAACAUGGGAAAUUACAUAAGUGUUUAAUGUGGAAUUUCGAAAUAUAAAUAGAGAACUGCAAUUACGAAUUUCUAGUGGAAUGAUUUGUAAUUUAUUAUGGUAAGAAUAAUUCAAAUUAAUUAUUUGGAAUUAUUUCCAUAAUAGGAAGUCCCAGUAAUUAAUUUUGUGGUCCGUACAGUGCCCAUAUUUAACUAGAACUCAGAAUCCUAUUUCUAAAGGGAAAAGAGGAGACAUGCGCUAGUUUUCUUAUAAAAAGAAAACUACCGUGUAUUUUUCUGUUGAAGAAAGAUAACAUGUGUUUGGUUCUCCUCUUCGGAUUGGGAAAGAAUCUCUAUAAGUAGGAAUUCUUCUAACCUAGAAAAAGAUUGAAGUUUUCUAUUCGAUAAUUUCCCACCCAAUUAUUGAGAGAGUUCGGAUGUGAACUUGGGAUCACGGUAGAAGAUCAUAAUAGCUAUUGUCUAUUUGUGGAUUCGUUUGAAGAUCAAUCUAAUUUGGGGAUUCGCUUGAAGGAAUCUGCUCACGCUUCAAGAGGUAAUUCUUGAAUUAAAUUUCAGUAAGUUUAUGUGUUCUAGCAUAAACGAUUUGGUUAUCUAUUAUUCAUGUAAGCAGUAAUGAUUCUAAUAUGCUUCCGUUGUACAUAUAAUUUUCCAAUAGAUAUAACCUAGGUUGGUUCAGUUUAGACCAAUUGGAAAAAUGAGGCAUUAAUCUACCUAAUGCAGGGUUUUCAACAAAAUGUUAUUUGCCUCUUUUACCCUUCAAAUAUGGAUUUCACACUAGACAUAAUAGUCAUUUUCUUUUUUUCCUUAUAUGUAGAACUAUGAAAUAAACUAAAUCUUUGUAUACUAAAUACUUCCUUAUUUGAAAUAUAUAAGAAAUAUUACCAUUAUAUAGUAUCAAUUACAUUAUUUAAAUCAUUUUCAACUUGAUAGCAUAUAGUGUAAAAUAUAAUUAUACUACCUUAAAUGUUAAUUGUAAUAUUGAGAACCUUUAAAUCAACAAAAUAAUCUAUUUAUUAGGUUUUAUCCUUAUUUGAUAAUACUAAAGUUUUGCCUAUAGAUAUAUAAAUUAUACGUAUAUACUUUUAGUCUUUGAAUAAGACUCUAAUUUGAACUUUGACAGAACCACAUAGUUUUGAUGACAACAAAAGGUCCAAAGAUAUCUAACUAGACCCCUAAUAGAUCAACCAAAAGACUACAACUUUAGGAUUACAAUUUGAACCUCUCAGAAGCGACUUUGUAAAGAGUUAUGGAGUUAAUGGAAGAAGUUAUCGCAACGAAAAAGUAAUGGAGUAAACAACUUGAUUUAAAUGUCAUGACUAGGAAGUCUACUGGAAUCAAGAUGGAUGAGAAGCACAUACUUUAUUUUAUUCCAUAAUGUGCAUCUAGUUAAUCAAAGAUGAAAAAAUUAUAUUUGAUUGAAUGGAAGACUCCAACGUCCAUUUGUAAGAAACUAAUUUUAUCCUAGAUAAAGAAGAGGAAUCAAAUGUUCACGUGGGUGACAUUUUCAGAAUUAUGUGGAGUUUUUACUUUGUGGUUUGUUUCUUUUAUAAAUUAGCAUGUUCUAUCAUUAAUAUUUUAUUUUUCCUACUCAAUUAUAAAUCAAGUCGACAUAUAAUCGAGUUUCAUUGUAAAGACUCAAAAAUCGAUCAUGAGAGCUGCUACCAUAAACCCUAGUAGGCAAGACAAACCCAAGAUAACAUAUGCUAAAUAAAACUAGAAAUAACUGAAGUAGAAAGAAUAAUUAGAUAAGAAAGGGGCCUUAGCGUAGACAUAUACAAACAAUAUAAAAAUAAAAGAUGGGCCCAAAAUAGACUGAGAAAGAUGAAUAUACACAAGCACCAUACCACAGACCAGGUUUUACAGGUACAAGAUCAUGUAAACUACAAGGAUAAGACUAUACAAAAUAUAAUUUUCUAACAAAAUACAAAAUAUAGACAAAAAAUACAAAAGGAAAAGAAGCAAACAUCUAGAUGCCAAUAGCUCACUACAAAGAAGAACAACGGGGCCUUGAAUGAGAGAAGAUCAACAAGGAUGACUUGUACUAGGCAUUGCGUUAGAAAAAGAUGUAGAAGUGUAAUAUGAGUACCAAAAUAUGAGGUACUAUGUAGGCAUCAUGGACGACCGAGACUCGUAGACAUUAUAUAAUAUAAGAAGCAUGAUAGUAAUAACAAUAAAAUCCAAAACUAUACUAGAAGAUUGAACUCACAAAAAAAUAGGGAACAUAAUAAUCGUAAAAAAAAUCAUGCUUCAUGUACUCAUAUCACAUAAUGUCAGGCAUUAUGGGAUGGUUCAACGCAUAUGUGGCUAAUGGAAAAAAGUAAAAAGUCUCGAAAUCUCCUUGAUGGCUGCCUGUAGGCUCCUAAUGAUCCGCUUGGCAAUUUGGAAUGAUCCCUCAGUCACAUAAUAGAAAAGAAAAACUUGAAAGGUUCCCUAGCAAUCCGAAAUGUUCCAUGGACUCAUAAAAAACUAUAAAAAAAAAUGUAAGAGUAUUGGUAGAGUCAGCGCAAACCAUAUGUAAAAGUAUCAUAUCUUUUAGAAUCAUAAAAACCUAGUGAAUUUAAGGGUAAAUCUCCUUAAAACCUGAAGAUCUCAUGAAACUAGUAUAUCUUUCAUAAAACCAUGUUUCAAAAAUAAUGUUUGUGAUAGGCCCCCUCAGAGCUUAAAUCUAGUAAAAAUAGAGACAUAUUAGUCUUACAAGAAUAAAGUUAAUAUUUCUUGCCUCCAACUCAUGUUAUGUGAUGAGUGGUAGAUUUACACUUAUUUGAGGCCUAUUCAGGUCAAUAAAUAGUAUCCUCAAUGCCUAAUUAUGUCCUAUUUUACUGAUGUUUUGAUUAUUUGCAGCUAUGAAGGUUAAAGAACAAUGCAAGGAUGAAUGUUUGAAAGGAUGACCAAAAAUAUAAAAAGAAGUGUAAACUCCACAUUGUUGAUCAACUAGAAUGAAGGGCGGAUCGCCCAAUGGGUAUGACCUCGCCUAAAUAGACAGUGCAUAACACUUGAAUUAAUUGGGAAAGGACAGAGAAUAAAAAGGGGAGUCUCGACUCGCCAAAUAAGAAAGGAGAAAAUGAUGACCAUCGCCGAAAGGAACAAUACAGGAAGAAAAAUUGAAGGCGAAGAAAGGUGGUACUCGGUGAUACACCAAAUGUGAAAGGCAAGCUUGAACGAGCUCGCCAAUUGAGGUUCAAACACCUGAAGCAAGAGAAAGGUGAUCUGGAGAGCAAUUGGCAAUUCACCUAAUAUGAUAGGUGUGCCCAACUAACGUUUCCAUGGAUCACACAUUGAGUUUUGGGCCAAAUUUUAGGGAAAUUAUAAAUAGUCCAAAGAAGAGAGAAAUUAAGAGUUCAGAAAUUCUGAGUUCUGAAAAAUAGUAGAGAAUUCUUAAUCUAUUCUUAGAGAGAGAAACACUUUACUUUGUGAAGAACACUUUUAGUUUUUGGGGCUUUUCCAACUUCUCUCUUAAAAUUGAUAAAUUGAAGUUUAAUUCAUAGUGGGUUUGGUUGUAAUUGCGUAACUCCAUGUUACGCAUGGCUUCAUUCAUAAAAGAUAAAAUUUGUUUACUCUUUUUAAUGGGUGGCUAAAAUCCCAAGAUCUAGGAGUGCAAUUAUGUGGUUGGGUGUUGAUUUAAUGUAGUGUGCAUUAUGUUAUGCUCUAUUUUUCCUUUUUUCAUACAUGGAUUUAGUCUAAUUAGCAUUGAGUUAACUUAUGGGUUAGGUUGGAAACUUAAUUUCUAUUUCCGAUCUCCGAUUGAUGCUCAAAAGAGAUUGAUUGGAGAGGGUAAUUAGUUUCAUACUUGCAAUUUAGGGUUGAUGUAUGUAACUUGUUUUAAAAUAGAGGUUAUGGGUCAGAUCUAUUUGCGCUAUUGUUGAAUCGAAAGAGAGAAUUUUGUAAGGUAUUGUGUUGUUUAAUAUAGCACAUAGAAGAGACCGAAAGGAGAUUCUAUGAAAUGAUCCUAUGAGAUCAAAAGAAGAUUAGUGUCAUUGACGAUGACGUAGCUUAUCAAUAAUUUUCAUUACUAUAGAGCAACACAAUUACCCCGAUGUGACAUCAAUUUCCAAUCCCCAAACCCCUAGAUUAGUUGUUACCUAUUUGAAUUUCUGAAAUCUUAGCUUAAUUGUGACUUUUGAUAACAAAUCUUUUUUAUUAAAUUUUGUUGAAUCAUCCGCCCACUUGUUUUAAUGUUGCAAAUCAAUGAAUUUAUAGUCCAAUUUUUUGAUAGAAUUCUUUGCCUUGUAUCAUUCUCUGUGGGAUUCGACUCCGUCUCUUAGUUGAGUAUAUAGUUACAAUGACCACUUACUUCUUAAUUAGUUUUAAAGAGUACUUUGAGUGUUAGAAAAAAUGGCGUCGUUACCUGGGAAUGAUGGCUAGAGGUUCCAUUUGAGAAAUAAGUUUGUAAAUUUGUUUAGUUGUAGUAGAUUGUUGUUUCGUGUGUGAUAUGAUGAUUUUCUGUUUAGAAAAUGAGUGACCACGAAAGUGACAAUGGGAAAAAUGACAACAUGAGUAAUUUUAAUAAUAUGCAUGUGAACAUCAUUCAACCCACGCGAGCCAUCCGGAUACCUCCCAUAGGCGGGAGGGCAGUUUUUCAUGUAAAGGGAACAAUACUACAAUUACUCCAAUUAUGAGGAAUAUUUGGGGGUUUAGCUCGUGAGGAUCCCCAUGAACACCUUUGAAAUUUUGUGGAGGUAGGUGGGCCAUUUGUGUUCUAAUACAUCUCACAAGAUUCCGUAAGGUUGAGGUUAUUCCCAUUCUCUUUGACGGGUGAAGCUAAAAGAUGGUAGGCGGAAUUGCCAAAUGACUCUAUCACUUCUUGGGAGGAGUUGAAUGAAGCUUUAUUGGAGAUAUCCCCCCCUCGAAGAUAGCUAAACUUCAAACCCAAAUCCAAAAUUUCAAAAGAAUUGUAGGUGAACCUGUACAUGAGACUUGGUUACAGUUCAAAAAAUUACUCUUGCAAUGUACAACACAUGGUGUGCCGAACAAUUUGCUACUGCAAUACUUCUAUUGCAACCUUGAUUUAGUCAAUAUAGAUGUGGCUGAUCAGUUGGUCGAAGGGGGAUUUAUGCGUCAAUCGUAUAAAAUAGCAAUGUUGUUGCUAGAUGACAUGAAAAAGUUUAACCGAGGAUGACAUACUGGAAAAGACCAAGUGUCUACUCUAUAACUGAGAAAAUAACAAAUAGAAAAGAAAAAUGAACAAGAUGAAAACAUGGGUAAAAUGAUGACCCAACACCAUUUUUCGUCUAAACAUGUCAUAGGAGGAGGAAUUAAAUUGGUAAAUGCGAUUGUAACAAACAUUGGGCAGUACCCAAAUGAUGUCAAGUUUGAGGCAGUACACAAUGAAGAAGAUAAAUACUUAGGAAACAAAAUAGGGGGUUCUCACCCAAAUUAUUAACAACAAGGUGGGAAUGAAGUUUAGAAUAAGAAGUGAGAUAACGAUUGGAAAGAUUGGAGAGAUAGGGAGGAUGGCAAGGAUAGGUAUGUCACUUCCAAUGAUCGUCUACAGCCCAAAGAAACAACUAGUCUAGAAGGAAACCGAACUGAGGAAAUGCUCACAAGGAUCGUCAACAAGGUUGAAGGAUCAGGAUAAAGUGACCAUCGCUGAAGGUGAUAGAACUUGGACAAAAAUUGAAGGUUAGAAAGGUGAACAAAGGCGCCACUCGCUAAUAUGCCGAAUAUAUAAUCGAGACUCAAACGAGCUCGCCUACUCAUGUUUAAACACCUUAAACCUAAAGCAAGAGAAAGGUGAGCUGAAGAUCAGUUGGUGGUUCACAUAAUAUGAUUGGUGAACCCAACUAACUUAGCCCGAUAAGUCACACAUUGAGUUUUGGGCUAGAUGUUGGGGAAAUUAUAAAUAGCCCAAAGAAGAGGAAAAAAGUUUGUUUUUGGAGAAGUAAAAUUUUCCAGAAGUGAGAAAGUUGUUAGAGAGAGAAAUACUUUCAUUCUGUGAAGAGCACUUUUGUAGUUUUUAAACUUUGCUCUUGAAAUUUAAAACUUGAAGUUGAAAUCUAAGCGGGUAUUUCUUGUAGUUGCUUAAUGUCAUGUUACCCAUGAUUGGUUUCAUCCAAGGUAUAAUUUCUUUACACUUUGUGAUGGGUAGCUAAAACCACAAAGUCUAGGUGUGCAAUUAUGGGGUUGGGUGUUGAUUUAAUGUAGUGGUAUUAUGUUAUGCUCUUUUUUUGUUGUUGUUCAUACAUGGAUUUUGGCUAAUUGGAAUGGGGUUAAUUUAUGGGUUAAGGUUGCAAACAUAAUUCCUAAUUCUGAUCUCCGAUUGAUGUUUAAAAGAGAUUGAUUGGAAUGAGUAAUUAGUUCGAUACAUGCAACUUAGGUUUGAUGUUUGUAAUAUUCCUGAAUAUAGAGAUUAUGGGUCAGAUCUAUUUUCCCUAUUUAUGCAUCGAAAGAGAUACUAUCUUAAGGUAUUUGGUUCAUUAGCAUAUAGUAGACCGGAAAGAGAUUCUAUGAACUGAUACUAUAAGAUCGAAUGAAGAUUAGUGUCAUUGAAGAUGACCAAACCUAUCGAUGAAUGUUCAUCACUAUAUAUCAACGCAAUUACCCCUACGUGAUAUCGAUAUCCAAUCUCCCACCCCUAGAUUACUUGUUACUUAUUUGAAAUUUUAGUUUAAUUGAGACCAUUGAAAGCCAUAAACUUUUAGUAAAUUUUGUGGAAUCAUCAAUCCACUUGUUCUCAAUACUACAAAUAAAUGAAUUUAAAUUACAAAUUUCUUGAUAAAAUUAUUCGCGCUAUAUCAUUUUCUUUGGAAUUCAACUCCGACUAUUAGUUUUGUAUUUUUAUUGAUGAAGACCCCUUACUCUUUGGAUUGGUUUAAGAGAGUAGUUUGAGCAUUAUAAAAUAUGGCACCGCUGCAGGGGAAUGACGGUUAAGAAUUUCAUUUGAGAAAUUAGUUUAUAAAUUUGCUUAGUUGUAGUGAAAUUGUUACUUGGUGUUGCUGGUUAAUGAUUUGCAAGCUUACAAAUAUGAGUAACCAAGUUAGUUACAACGAUAGUCAAUACUGUCAAAUUGAAAAUAUGGGUGAUUUGAAUGACAUGCACAUGAACGUCAUUCAAACCACGGAAGGCAUCUGGUUACCUCUCAGAACUAGUAGGACAAUUUUCAUGUAACCGGAACAAUGCUACAGUUUAUCCAACUAAUAGGAGUGCUUGGGGGUGUAACACUCUGUAUGCUAAAACAACCAAAAUCAGAUUUUUUUCCAGAAGUUGAAUGUGCAACCUACGAUUGCCACCCACGGACCGUAGGGCGACCCACGGUCUGUUCUGGUCGUUCGUUGUUCACCACAUGCAACCCCCUCCCAGAACCCAUCCUCUGAAGUUGAUCGAUGGAUUUAUAGGACGGAUCGUGGAUCAGUCCACGGACCGUCAAGCAGUCCAUAGGUCGAGACCCUCAGGACCUCCCAAAACCCAUUCUCUGAAGUUGAUCGACGGAUUGACAGGACGGAUAGUGAUUCAGUCCACAGACCGUUGACCAGUGCGUAGGUCGAGACCCUCAGGACCCCCCAGAACCCAUCCUCUGAAAUUGAUCGACGGACUGACAGGACGGAUCAUGGAUCCAUCCAUGGACCGUCGAUUAGUCUCGUCGGUGGCUUCAACAGAUUUUAAGUCAGAAGUCGUUUGGUCUUUUCCACAUGCGUUGGACCCCUCAACUACGUCGUUUAACCCCUAAACUACGUAGUUUUGUGUAAUCACUCGCAAAUUGAAAUAACUAGGAAGGAGUUAAUAAUUGGAAAUAGUAGUUUACGGAAAUAAUGAAAAUCUCGAAAUUUUGAUAAGAUAAAAUAAGUUGAGUUUUGGUCCACUUCAAACGGCAAUAACUACCAUCUCAGGAUGAGUUAGGUGUACUUCCAGAUAUGGUAGGACAACUCUUGGAAUAAUCUUUCCAACGCCGCUAAAUUUGCACGAUUUCGAGUUCGUAUGACUAGUGACCCCAAGCUAACCUUACUGGCAUAUCAUAAGCAUACUAAAGUAAACAUAGGUAAAGAAAUAUUGUGCGAAGCUAAACCAUCAUGUGAACUAAAAUGAUGGGGAAUACCCAUAAACUAUCUAAAUAUAUAAAAACUGAGAUUUAACAACAACUGAAAGGUCAAACACAAAUGCUAAAGCUAAAUCUAACUAUGUUUGAAAAUAGCCUCUAACUAACUUGAAGUGUUGCGACAUGCCACAACUAAAUCUAGCGAAAGCUAAAACUAAAACUAAAAGUAAAGGAAACAUAUUUGUCAUCCUCAGAGAAUGAGGACUCACCACUUAUACUGCUGAGCUGAUGAUUGGGAACUGAUAUAUGCGUGAUUUGGAAGCUGAGGACCGGAGCCUAUAUCACGAAAAAAUGUAGCGUAGAGUAUGCAUCAAUACUUGAAAGGUACUGAGCAUGCAGGAUAGGAUAAAGCUGAACAAUAACCAUAACUGAACCAAAGCAUAUCUUAGAAAUGGUAAGAGAUAAGCAUGAUACUAUAUUGAGAAUACUGAACAUGAACUAACUAGAUACAAUGACCAAGUUUAUAACAUGCUGAGACUGAAAUCUGACUAUAACUGAUAACAUGGUCAAUGCAAUAGAAUCUGAUUGUAAGGGAGCUACUAAUAACCCAAAUAAAACUACAUGAGCUAAAUGUGGAGUCUGAUGUAUACGCCAUUUGAGAGGACCUAAUAUACCCGUGCCAGAGUUAUAGAGGCAUGACUGACAUGAUCAUUAAAAUGUAAUGCCCAAUAGAGGGGACUUAACCUAUGGGGCACAUGGUUCUAGGACUUGAGGGUGACUGACCCUAGUCCACUCGGUAUUAAGCUACUCCCAAUUGAUUAUGUAAUUAACAAUUUAUGACUAAAAUGUUGUAAUACUGGAUAGCUCAAAAAUAUUGACAUACUAAUUGAAAAUGCAACAUUAAUGUACUAAUAAUGAAAUAUUCAAAUCUGAGGCAUGUAUAUCUUACAUAACUAGCCUAGCAGGUGUAAUUCAUGAACUAAAAGAACUACAUAGCUAGGGGUCUGAAUUUAUGAAAACUCUACACAAAACGAUACUAAAAUCAUGAUAAUCUGAUUUGGAUCAUUCUAACAGCUAAAGCCCAAUAUUUUUUAACAUUCAAGAAACCUUAGGUCUACAUGAUAUUAAGGGAAUCAAGAUUAUGACUGAAAUCUAGGGACCUAAUGGGUGAAAGGAACCCACUAGUGAAAUCCCACAUACCUGGUGACGAAAUUCAUGGAGAAAUCUUUCGAUUUCGGUGCUGGAACUGAUGAAAACUCGCUGCGUUCUUGAACUAGGGCUUCAUCGACUUUCUCCUAUGUUUUUCUCUAACUUUGAUCUAUUUUUGGUGAAGAAUUGAUUAGGAUAAGUUCUAAUUAGUUUACUAGGCUAAAAGUGACAAAAAUGACGUAGUUUAGGGGUUAAACGAUGUAGUUUAAGGGUCCAACGCAUAAGGAAAAGACCAAACGACCCCUGACUUAAAAUCUGCCGAAGCAGCCAAUGGGACGAAUCGACGAUUCGUGGAUGGAUCCACGAUCCUCUCGGUCCGUCGAUCGACUUCAGAUGAUGGGUUCUCGGGGUUCCUGAGGGUCUCGACCUAGAACGGACCAAGGGUUGCCCUACGAUCCGUGGGUGGCAAUCGUGGGUUGCACCUACAACUUCUAGAAAAGAAAUCUGCAUUUUGGUAGUUUUAGCAUCCGGGGUGUUACAUUAACUCCCCCUGGGAACAUUUGUCCUCGAAUGAAGACUAAAUUAGCUGGAGAUGGAGGGAAAGAGCUGCAAACCCUGUCACUAAACACUGGAACUUGAUUUAUGACUAAACUAUGUUCCAAGAACAUACAAAUACACUGAAAAUGCAAAUAUAAAUUGAAGGAACAUGAUACUAAGAUUGAAUCUGCUCAUGAAUGACUGAAAAAGUGAAGAGAAACUAUUACCUCAAGCAUGAAUGGAAUUCGAAGGAAAGAGAUGAGGAUACUUGGCCUUCGUGGCUGCUUCUGCUUCCCAAGUAGCUCCCUCUACGGACUGACACCUCCACAAAACCUUGACUGAAGCGACUUCAUUGUUUCUCAACCUAUUAACCUGACGAUCAAGGAUUUAAACUGGUACCUCUUCAUAAGUGAGACUAUCCUUCACAGCCGCACUUUCUAACGGUACUAUAGAUGGUCGAUCACCCACACACUUCUUCAACAACGAAACGUAAAAAACCGAUUACACUACUCCUAGUUCUUUUGGCAACUCUAACUAAUAAGCCACUGUACCAACUCUUUUAAAGAUUUUGUAAGGCCCUACAUAUCUAGGACUGAGCUUCCCUUUCUUCCCAAAUCUCAUCACCCCUUUCAUAGGUGACACUUUCAGGAAAACCCAAUCAUCAACUUGGUAAUCUAAUUCCAUUCUUCUUACAUUUGCAUAAGACUUCUGGCGACUAUGGGAUGUCAUAAGUCUAUAUCUAAUGAGUUGCACUUUCUCCAUAGCAUCAUGAACUGAAUCUAGCCCUAUCAAGGCUUAUUCACCUACUUCAAACCAACCAACUGGAGAUCUACAUCUACGCCUAUACACUACCUCAUAAGGGGCAUCUGAAUGUUCGAAUGGUAGUUAUUAUUGUAGGUGAACUCUAUAAGAGGAAGGUGAUCAUCCCAACUACCCUUGAAAUCGAUCACACAAACUCUCAACAUGUCCUCUAUGGUUUGAAUGGUAUGCUCUGCCUGACCAUCCGUCUAUGGAUGAAAUGUUGUGCUAAGAUUAACCUGAGUACCAAGACCCUUCUGAAAUGACUUCCAGAAAUAAGAGGUAAAUUGAGGACCUCUAUCUGAGAUGAAAGACAAAGGAAACCCAUGCAACCUAACUAUCUCAUUAAUGUAAAGCUUGGCAUAGUCCUCUGCCGAAUAUGUAGUCUUAACAACCAAAAUGUGUGUAGACUUAGUAACUCUAUCAACUAUCACCCAAAUGGAGUCAUAUUGUCUUCUAGUUCGAGGUAAACCUGUAAUGAAGUCCAUGUUGAUCACUUCCCACUUCCAAGUAUGAAUAUUGAUCUCUUGAGUCAUACCUCUUGGUUUCUGAUGUUCUACCUUCACUUGAUGGCAAUUAGGGCACUUAUCCACAAAAUCCGCUAUAUCCCUUGUCAUACCGUUCCACCAAAAGAAUUCCCGCAGAUCACGGUACAUUUUAGUGGCUCUUGGAUGAAUAGAAUAUCUGGAAUUAUGGGCUUCUGCAAGAAUCUGCUAUCUCAACUCACCCACCUUAGGAACACAUAAUUGACCCUGAUAGCGAAGCACACCAUCUCCAACGGGAAAAAAUGUCAACUCUUUAUUAAUGGACUGUACCCUUUAGUUGAAGCAAUAUUAGAUCAUUGUCUUGUUUUUCCUUAACCUCUGCUACCAAUAAAGAUUAUGACCCAUUCUAAACUAUUACACCACCAUCUAAUAUGCUCAUAAGAUGAACUCCUAAGUGAACAAGUCCGUGAAAAUCCUUUGCUAGUUUAUUUCUUUCUUCCUCAACAUGUUAUACACUACCCAUAGAUAGUCUACUAAGAGCAAUUGCUACUACAUUGGCCCUACCAGGAUGGUAAUGCACACUACUAUCAUAAUCCUUGAGGAAUUCAAGUCAUCUCCUCUGGAGAAUAUUCAAAUCUUCCUGGGUGAACACAUACUGAAGGAUCUUAUGGUCUGUGAACACAUCUACGUAAACACCAUACAAGUAAUGUCUCCAAAUUUUAAGUUAAAACACCACUGCUGCAAGCUCAAGGUCCUGAGUUGGAUAGUUCUUCUCAUGCACAUUAAGUUGCCUUGAAGCAUAAGAUAUAACCUUACCUCGCUGCAUCAACACACAACCUAGGCGGACUUUGGAUUCAUUACAAUAGAUAACAUUACCGUUUGAACCCUUUGGUAGAGUAAAAACAGGAGUUGUAGUCAACCUAGUUUUCAGUUUUGUGAAGCUCUUCUCACAAUCAUCUGACCACUUAAACUUAACCUUUUUCUGAGUCAACUUAGUCAAUGGAGAGGCUAUGGAUGAAAAUCCUUCCAGGAACCUUCUGUAAUAACCGGCUAAACCAUAGAAGUGUCUGAUAUCUGUAGUAGAGGUAGGUCUGGGCCAUUGUUUCACUGCUUCUAUUUUCUGAGAAUCCACUCGGAUCCCUUCGUUGGACACAAUAUGACCAAGAAAAGCAAUGGAUUGCAACUAAAACUCACAUUUGCUAAACUUAAUGAAUAAAUGGCGAUCUUUGAGAGUUUGCAGGACAACCCUCAAUUGAUUCACAUGUUCUUCCUCAUUCCUAGAGUAAAUGAGGAUAUCAUCAAUAAAGACGAUAAUGAACAAGUCCAAAUACUGCUUGAACACUCUUUUCAUCAAGUCUAUGAAAGUUGCAGGAGCAUUGGUUAGUCCAAAUGACAUAACUACAAAUUCAUAAUAACCAUACCUAGUUUUGAAUGCUAUUUUUUGGGAUGUCACCAUCUCUGAGUCUAAGCUGAUGAUAACAGGAUCUGAGGUCUAUCUUCGAGAAAUGACUAGCACCUUGAAGUUGGUGAAACAAGUCAUCAAUCCUGGGGAUAGGGUACUUAUUCUUGAUUGUGACUUUGUUCAACUUCCUAUAGUCAAUGCACAUUCUGAGAGAACCAUAUUUCUUUUUCACGAACAACACUGGUGCACCCCAUGGGGAAAUACUAAGUCUGGUGAAGCCGUUAUCUAGAAGGUCUUUCAACUGCUCUUUCAAUUCCUUAAGCUCAACUGGAGCCAUUCUGUAGGGAGGAAUAGAAAUAGGUUGGGUAUCUGGAAGGAGAUCAAUUCCAAAAUCGAUUUCCCUUUAGGAAGGGACUCUGGGAAAAUCUUUUGAAAACACUUCUUAGAACUCAUUUACUGUCGGAACUGACUCAAGAGUUGGGGUUUCAGAGCUCGAGUCCUUAACCCAAACAAGAUGAUAGAUAUACCCCUUGGAAAUCAUCUUUUUUGCCUUAAGGUAAUAAAUGAAUCGACCCAUAGGCGCUAAGCUACAACCCUUUCAUUCUAAGAUUGGUUCGUCUGGAAACUAAAAAAUGAACGAUCCUAGUUCUAAAUCGACUGAGGCAUAAGAAGAAUGUAACCAAUCCAUGCCUUGAAUGAUAUCGAAGUCUACCAUUUCUAACUCUACAAGAUCUGCUGAUGUGACUUUAUGGCAGACUGUGACAAGGCAAUUUAUGUAUACCCGUCUAGCUAUAAUUGGGUCAUCGACUGGAGUAGAGACUGAGAAGGAUUCUGAGAGAGUUUCUAGACUGACACCAAAAUUUACUUCUAUAUAGGGAGUUACAAAAGACAAAGUAGUCCCUAUUGUUUUUCCACUAAAUGAACCAUAUGUGAGCCACAUCCUUAAGCUGGUAGGAAGCCAACUCAACCCUACUAUUAUCAGUCACUUGCAUCACUCCAAAUAUUUUCUUAACCUCAUCAAUGAAGUUCUGUGGGGCCUCACCAACUUGUGACCCUAAAAACUCAAGCAGAUUCAUCCUUACAAAAUCUUUAACCCUAGGUGCCACUGAUCCACCAUUUCUAUUACUCCCUCUGUCCCAAUUUAUGUGACUUACUUUCCUUUUUAGUCAGUUCAUAAAAGAAUGACACAUUUCUAUAAUAAGUAACAAUUUAACUAUAAAAUAUAUAUUUUACCCUUAAUGAAAUGAUUUACAGCCACACAAAUUUCUAUCAUUCAUUUUGAACCAUAGGUUUUAAAAGCUUCCUUUCUUUCUUAAACUUUGUUCUGAGUCAAACUACCUCACAUAAAAUGGGACAGAGGGAGUAGUAGGAAUUAGAACCUACUGACUAUUCUAAUUGGCUACACUCUGAGCCAAAAGUUGGAUCACAUUCUGAAACUCUACAUUCUUAACCUCAUGGUCUGGGAUAGGAGGAAAUGCAUUAGCAUUCCUUGUGUAAGCUCUACGAGGAUGCAUGAUCAGAAAACUCAUAACGACGAGUUAGAAGGUAGAUCAUACCUAUGCACGAUAAGAAUAUCAAGAAAGUGACACUACUAGAAAAAAAGGUUUUACCGACAAUCAUUUAACGGAAUAAAGCCAAUUGCUGCUAAUCAUUUCAUUAAGGUGAAAUAUUAGUGGCAAAUAAAUAUUAGCCAAUAAAGGGUAUCCAUUUAUAGACAAUAAAAACAAUUUGCCACUAAAAAUCAGUAAUUAAAAUAAACAAUUUAUUAAUUUGUCUUCCCUCCUAUUUAUUGGACAAGCUAUUCACUCCUAAUAUUAUAAGAAAAAAUAAAAGAAAACCCUAGUAUUUUCUUCAUCUCAUGAACUCAUUUUGAAGAUGACUAUUGUUGCUGUCAAAUUAAUCACGAUGCUCCAUCUCAAAUUCAAUCUCCGUUCAUCGUUUACCUAGGUAACUUUAUCUUUUAUCCAAAUGGCUAGACCCAUCGAUGAAUUCCAUCCAUUUACAAUUGAUUUUGGGUUGAUGUUGCUCGACUUUGUUCAAUCUUUGUUGUCAGUCGUAUUCCUAUCAUUCUCACUUGCACUUUAUUGUCUUCAUCGGCAAAAAUUCUGCUUCGCUGGAACUAAUUUGUGGUUUUUUUGUCCAACUAUGGCAUUUUGGGAUUUAUAAAAGUAUAAAUUUUAUGUGUUUGCUAAGUCAUUUGUGAUAUCUGGCUGCUGUUAAGUUCAUGGGUUAUUUGUUGAAUUGUUUCUUCUGUCAUUUCCUCUACUUCUUAAUGAAUUGGAUCCUCUAUUUGCUAACUGUUAUUCUUAUGAUUGUUUAAAAAAUUGCUAAUGUUGGUUGAUGCAUAUUGCUGUUUUAAUUGAAUCUAAUACUUCUACAUAUAUGGAUUCAACAAUGUUCUAACUUUUUGCCUGGGUAUUUUUUUAUUCUAUUAUUUGUUGUUGGUUUAGUGUGUUGGUAGACUUGUUGCUGGUUACUUAUGGUUAAUUGGAGCAUUUUAGCGGCUAAAGUUUGAAAAAGAUUUACAACAUCCAGAAUAACAUUGCUGGUUUUAAACGUUUUCCUAUGUCAAUAAAAAAGUUCCUAAGGUAAAAAAAAUGCAUAAAAAUCGAAAUAAAUCCAUAAUCAGAGUACACCGAUAGCACUCUUAAACCAAACAUCAUAACAAUCUGUAUUACUACAUCAUUUACUUAAUUAAGUCCAAAUAAGUCUAAUGCCAAGGUUAUAAAAUAUAAAAAUCUUACACUCUAAAAAUCAGCUGGUAUGAUGACGUAAAAUUCAAUGAUACUUUUAAGUACUAGUUAGAAUUUAAACUCUGAUCUGGUAGAGUCAGAUAUCAAUAGAUAAUUUUGGUACCAAGCUAAUAAAAUAUCAACUUAUUAGAAAAAUAUAUAGAAAGCAUAAACACAUGUAUUAUCAGUAGGUGAUAGUUCAAAGUAGAUGAACUUUUGCAACAUAUUGAUUCAUAACUGUUACUUGUCGUUCAGUUGAAUAAACUGAUUGUUGUCAACUUACUUAUUUUUUCUUAAGAAAAAUGUUGAUCUGGUUAAAAGAGUAAAGAGAGGCUGAUUCUCCCAGGUGCAGAUUGAAUAUAGAUAAAAAUCAUCGCUUCUCCAGAACAGUUUCAUUGAACAUUUUAAUCACAAUAUAUUUGUCUUAGUAUUCUUUCUUAAGAAAAAGUUGGCCUGAGUAAAAUUUAAAGAGUACUUCAUAAAAAAAUAAAAUUAAAGAGCUCGUCAUGCACUGGAAUGUUGCAAUGCUUUUACAAUAAAUAUAGGCACUUAAUUUUUUUUUAGGGGGGGUGGGGAACUUAUUAUUUUGGUUUGAAGUUCAACAAAUAUUUUCUGCAACAUUCAUCAACCUCACCAUCAUUUUGAUCCCUUAGUUUAUCAUUGUAUUUUAUUGAAUCAAUUAGAAAAACUUAUCAUGAAACGUUUUAGAUAAAGCAAGGAAACUAUUGGAGGAGUAUAUAAUGACAAUAUGUAACAUUGAAUAAGAAUUGAAUACCAGAGAAGCAUAGAUGGAUGAGAAUAGAGAAAUCAGAACCCUGAUCUAGUAGUUUCAUAUUCAUUUUAAAAAAAAAUAGUUUACAGGGAAUGAAAACAUAUGCAUCUGAUAACAUAUCAAUAUUAAACUCCAAUCAUCAGGUCCUUUAGCCUUUUCUUUCAUAUUGAAGAAAUUUGUAUCACUACGACAUUAGCAAACCAAUUCUUUGCGUUUAGAUCGAAAAACAUGUUUAGUUAUAGAUUUUCUUAAAAUUAUCACAGAUUUUGGAAGAUAAUUUAGUAGCGGAAAAUUAUAAAAAGGAAGACCUAUAAACAAAACUUACUAUUAAGAACCAAAAAGUUAACAACAAAAUAUCUCAAUUUAUGUUUUCAUUUUUUUUCUAAUUAAAAUUUUAUGAGAUCCUUUAUGGAUACUAAAGAAACAAAAAAGUGAGAAAAAUCAUGUCUUACUAUGGAAAUCUGAAUUGAGUUUGUUCUGGAAAGUUGAAAUGAGUUCUUUUUUAAAUGACUGGGAAGUUUUUGGUGUACUUCAGAAUUUCAAGUUACUAGUCGUGAAAUUAGAAACAAAAAUAUACCAUAUGUAAGGAAUUGUUGGUGUUUCUCAUUAUCAGUUCAAAUGGAAUCUUUUAUGUUAAAUGAAUAUGCAUACACUUCAAAUGUAGGCAUUCAAAAUUGUUGAAUACUUAGAAAGGUCUUGUAUUUUUUGAGGAAAAGAGAACUUGUGAGUUCUUCUCUCACUGUUAAACUACUAAGGGUCAUUUAAAGAGUGACUAGAAUUGCAACUAAUUAGACUAACAAAUAAGGACUAUUAGUGCUUUAUAUCAAAGAAUAAGGAUGAUUUUGAGUGAACUCCUUUGGACAUCCUCUUUCCUUACAAUAAAUAAUUAAACUUCUGGGCAGUCCAUACACUAAAUUUGAUUUCAUUUAUGUUAUUUUUGGGGAUAUGUUAGUGUUAUAUGAUAAUUGUAUGUUAGAGAUUUUUUUUCUCUAAUUCCCUAAAGCAACUAUCAUCUAUAUUGAUUUUACUUUGUCUUGAUGUUCUUUCUAGCUAGCCUUACACAUUACAGUCUUGUUCUCAAGCUUUCAGCCUUAGCACAAAUACUUGGCAAAUAUGUCAUGUUUUCUAAACAGAGGACCAUCAUGGCUAUAGCUCGCUUGAUGUUCCACACUUUUUUUAUAAGAUAAGUGGUAUUAAUAACAACAUAAAGAAUAUGGCAAGAAUUACAAGAUAUGACAUUUGAGUUUACAAAAAAUCUCUAGCUAACUAUAAAAACUAUCUAAGCCAGAACUAGUGAGUUAAUUAAGUCCUGAAGUUGUUCAACGUUAGCCGAAGGAUACACAUACCCCCUAAUACUGCAUUAUAGCUAAGUAGAAAUUUCUCUGUGUGCCAUAUGUAGAAACACAUUUUCCCACAACUACCAGUAUAUAGAAAUGGGAUCCAGGAUAAACUUGUAAAAAGUGUUAUUGUAUUUGGUAUCCCACCACUUUUCUAACGGUAGUGUUACAAGAAAGUUGAUAUGGGAGCUUGUUCUUUUAUUUUACCCAAGCGUAAUAUGUAGAUUGUAGGCUAGAGGUGGGUUGUCUCUGUGUUCAAUCCUACUCCCUCCCUGAACAUGUAUUUUUAGUGUUUUAAUUCAUGAAAAGUGAUUGUUCUUUCAUUCCCUUAUUAAUUGACCCAGUACUCAACCUAGGAUUUCCAAUGUUUUAUAUAACUUUGGUAGUUCAUGUUUUUAUACAUUACAUUUUAUCUUUUGAGUUUUGACACAUUUAUUUUAUUAUUUUAGGUCAUACAAUCUGAUGUUCGAAAAUGUUGCAUGUAAAAUUCAAAAUGCUAAAGGAUUGACGAAAUUAUUUGAAGACAUUAUUCGAUAGGAUUGGUUAUAUUAGUUCAUAUAAUAUAAGUUUAUUUUUCGAAUUGUGAUAAUAAAUAUUUUAGAUUCAUACUUCUUUUUGUUUGUUUAGAUUUGAAGAGAUUCUGUUUUAUGUAUAUUACUAGAAAAAUUACAAAACUAUCACUAGAAGUGCAAAUUAGAUCAUUUUCUCGACAUAUAUAUUAGUAAUAGUGGCAAAAUAGUUGUCACUAAAGCGUGUGACUUUGAGCAUCAAUUUAAUUGAAUAUACCAACCAUAAAAAUGGUGUUUGUUUGGGAGAUGAAGACGUUUUCACAAGGAUAUUGUAUCCUUUAAAAUUGCCACCAAAUAAUUGUCGUUAAAGAUGUGGACUAGUAGCGGCAAUUUAGUUGCAAUUAAAAUGGAUGCUAAAAGGGAAAACUAAAACAUUUUCAGAAGGAAUAUUGUAGCCAUUUUAUUUGCCACAAAACAAUUGUCGUUUAAACUAUUGACUUUUAGCAGCAAUUUAAUGAGAAUGGUCACGAAAGCCUUUAGUGACCCCAGCAUCGCCGACUAAAGAUCAAUGGCCGGUAAAGGAUAUAGCGUCAACUUUAAUUGCCGCGAAAGCUAAUUUUUAUUGCCACUAAAGACCUUUUUUGUAGUAGUGUGAAGUUUUCCUAAAAACAUCGUAGCCUCCCUCUCAUUAGAUGUGGUGCACUUCAUACCCAUGAUAAGGACCCUACUUAGUGUGGCUUUUCAGACAUCCUAGGACACUUACACCUAAUGCGCUGUUACCAAGUUUGUCAGGCCCCGAAGCUACCCUCAAGAUGCAGACACGGAACCUAGGAUCACGAGUGACCCCAAGCUAACCUUGUUGGCAUAUCAUAAGCAUACUAAAGUAAACUGAAAUAAAGAAAUAUUGUGCGGAAGAUAAAUCAUCAUGUAAACUGCAAUGAUGGGGAAUACCCAUAAACUAUCUGAAUAUAUGAAAACUAAGAGUUUAAGAGCAGCUGAAAGGUCAAACUAAAAUGCUAAAUCUGAAUCUAACUAUGUCAGAAAAUAGCCUCUAAUUGACUAGAAGAGCUGGAACAUGCCCUAGCUAUAUCUAGCAAAACCUAAAACUAAAACUAAAAGAAAAGGAAACAUUUAUGUCAUUCUCGAAAAAUGAGGACUCACCACUGAUACUGCUGAGCUGAAGAUCGGGAACCGAUCUAUGCGUGAUCUGGAAGCUGAGGACCUGAACCUACAUCACGAGAAGAUGUAGCGCAGAAUAUGCGUCAGUACUUGAAAGGUACUGAGCAUGGAAAAUAGGAUAAAGCUGAACAAAAACCAUAUUUGAACAAAAGCAUAUAUCUGAUCAAUGUUAAGAGAUAAGCAUGAUACUAUACAAAGAAUACUGAACAUGAACUAACCGGAUUCAAUGACCAAGUUUAUAACAUGUUGAGACUGAAAUAUGACUAUAACUGAUAACAUGGUCCAUGAAAUAGAAUCUGACGGUAAGGGAGCUACUAAUAACUGAUAUAAAACCACAUGAGCUAAAUGUGGAGUCUGAUGUAUACCCCCAUGAGAGGACCCAAUAUACCUUGCCAGAGGUAUAGAGGCAUGACUGGCGUGAUCACAAAAAUGUAAUUCCCAACAGAGGGGACUUAACCUACGGGGAACGUAGUUUUAGGACUUGAGGGUGACUGACCCUAGUCCACUCGGUAUUAAGCUACUCCCAGUUGAUUAUAUAAUUAACAAUUUAUGACUUGAAUUCUCUAGUAGUGGAUAGCUCAAAAAUACUGACAUACUAACUAAAAAUGCAACCAUAAUGUACUAAUAAUGAAACAUUAAAAUCUGAGGCAUGUAUAUCUUAAAUAACUGUCUUAGCAGGUGUAAUUCAUGAGCUAAAAGAACUACAUAGGUAGGGUUCUAAAUUUAUGAAAGAAUCUACACAAAACGAUACUAAAAUCAUGAUAAUCUGAUUUGGAUCAUUCUAACCGCUAAAACCCAAUAAUAUGUAACAUUCAAUAAACCUUAGGUCUAGAUGAUAUUAGGGGAAUAAGGAUUCUGACUGAAAUCUAGGGAUCUAAUAGGUGAAAGGAACCCACUAGUGAAAUCCCACUUACCUGGUGAUGAAAUUCACAGAGAAAUCUUUCGAUUUUGGGGCUGGAACUGAUGAAAACUCGAUACGUUCUUGAACUAGGGCUUGGUCGACUUUGUCCUCUGUUUUUCCCUAAGUUUGAUUAAUAUUUGGAUAAUAAUUGAAUAGGGUACAUUAUAAAAUUGACCAAAACCACGUAGUUUAGGGGUUAAACGACGUAGUUUACGGUCCAACGCAUAAGGAAAAGACCAAACGACCCCUGACUUAAAUCUGCUGAAGCCGCCAACGGGACUGAUUGAUGAUCCAUGGAUGGAUCCAUGAUUUGUCCUGUCAGUCCAUCGAUCGACAUCAGAGGAUGUGUUCUGGGGGGUCCUGAGGGUCUCGACCUAUGGACUGAUCCAUGAUCCGUCCUGUCAGUCCAUUGAUAAACUUCAGAGGAUAGUUUCUGGGAUGGGGUUGCAAGUGGUUAACCACGGACCACCAGAACGGACCAUGGGUCACCCUUUGAUCCGUGGGUGGCAACUCAGGGUUGCACCUACAAAUUCGGAAAAAAAAUCUGCAUUUUGGUUGUUUUAGCAUAUGGGGUGUUACACUAAUUCAAAUUAAGUAAUUUCUACUCUUCAAUUGGGAAAACUUGGGGGUCCAUGGGUGCAAGGAUUCCAUGAAUUAAAAGCUAUCAUACCUUGUUAUCAAAGCCCAAAAGAAAUUGAAGAAUAGAGACUUGGCCUUGAACCCUAGCAUGAAUCUUCUUCUUCAAACUUCUAGAGAAAGAAAUAUUUUGGAAGGGAAGAACUUUGGUCUUCUUUUUGAAUUUUAGAAGAAUGACUUGAAUGAACUAAUUUGGGGUUAAAACCCACUUAUAUAGGGGUAUUAGGCAAAACGACGUUUUAUACGGAUAAAAUAAUUAGGAAAAGAUCCAAUUGCCCCUAAAAAUAACUGCCGACCAACCACCUACGGACCCUGAUCGAUGAACCGUGGUCUGGUCGACGGUCAAUCCUGCAAAAUCAUCGAUCACUUCAGAAACAAUGAUUUGGGGCCUGACCUACGGACCCUUAAUCACAUAUUGUGGACUGAAUGACGAUCCAUUGGUCCAGCCAUGGUUCCUGACCUCUGAUCAUUUUGGGUGGCCAAUCGACGGACCACACCUACGGUCCAUGGUCUAGUCCAUGGACCGUGGUUGGCCUCAGUCGCAUGGCACCAGGAAGCUCUGAAAAAUGCUACUUUGCCCCUGCUCGAAUCUGAGGUGCUACUAUGUGACACCCUUAACAUCUUCAAUUUCAAUCACCCUAUUACAAGACACUUUAGUUAACUUGUACGGACCAGUCCACUUUGAUUUUAACUUUCUCGGAAAAAGCUCAAACCUAGAAUUGAAAAGGAGAACGUGCUCACGUUACCAAAUAUCCUUGUGUAGGAUUUUGUCAUCAUUUUACAUUUUCUAUGGAGAGAGAGGACUUCUCAUAUGCCUUUAAGCAAAAUUCAUCCAAUUCAAGUAGUUGGUCUACACGGUUCCUCGAAGCCAUAUCCCAAUCUAUGUUCACCCUCUUCAAUGGCCAUAAGGUUUUGUGCUCCAAUUUAAUAGCAAGUGAAAGGCCUUCCCACACACUAAUUUUUAGGGGAGACAUGCCAAUGGGAGACUUGAAAGUUGUCUGAUAUGCCCUAAGUGCAUCAUUAAUGUGGUCAGACCAAUCGAUGCAAUUUCUAUUAACUAUUUGUCAAAUAUGUUCUCGAUUUCCCUCUUAGAAAUCUCAACUUGUCCACUUGUUUAUGGAUGGUACAGUGUGGAAAACUUAUACUUUACCCCAUACUUGGACAAAAGUGUUUCAAAUUGGUGAUUAUAGAAAUAGGAACCACAAUCACUUAAAAUAUAUCUUGAAGUCCUAAAUCUUGUGAAUGUGCACCUCUUUAGUAACUUAGUGACACUCCUACCGUCGUUGUAAGGUAAAGAAAUGACUUCUAACCAUUUUGAUACAUAAUCAACAAACACUAGGAUGUAUUUGUUAAUGAAAGAGCUAACAAAUCGUCCCAUGAAGUCAAUCCCCCACACAUCAAAAAGUUCAACUUCAAGAAUCAUAUCUUUCACCACAACUUCAUGAAUGAAAUGCAUGAUUAUGUGAUGAGCACACUCCUUAAAGAGAUAGGGUUCAUCCCAGACAUACUUCAUAACAUCAAAUAAGAACUUCUUCUUUUGAUAGUUGUUCAAUCCUUUUAGAAUCAAUCUACACACUAUAAAAUUUUCAUAGUCAGCAUGCCGUGGCAUUGAGGUUUGAAAGAUCCUCAUCAUUGUUCAUCUAGAAAAGUAUCAUCAAUGUUUAGUUCAUUCACCAAAGCAGCACUUUGUUCAGAACUUUAUAGAUGGUCCGCUACCUGAUUUUCACAAUCUUUCCUAUCCUUUACUUCAAAACAAAAAUCAUGAAAAAGAAGUGCCCAACAAAUCAAUCUAGGUUUGGCUUCCUUCUUGGCCAUCAAAUACCGGAGGAUUGCGUGAUCAGUAUGCACUACAACUUUGUUACCCAAAAAUUAUGGUCUAAAUAUUUCAAAACCAUACAUGACGGCUAGCAACUCUUGUUCCAUCGCCGUAUAGUUCUUUUGAGCCCAAUUUAAUGUCUUGCUAGCAUAAUACAUGGGAUGAUAAAAAUUAUUCUUUCGCUGCCAAAGAAUAACACAAAGCUCUACUCCACAUGCAUCACACAUUAUUUCAAAGUGAAGACUCCAAUCGGGUGUAAUUAUGAUUGGAGAUGAUAUAAUAUUUUCUUUUAAGCUCACAAACACCUUCUUACAAUGUGCAUCAAAAUCAAACAUACUUUUCUUUUCCAGAAAUCGGCAAAAUAGAACAACUACAUUAGAGAAAUCCUUUAUGAAUCGAUGGUAGAAUUCAACAUGGCAUAGGAAACUCCUUACACCUUUCACCGAAAUUGAGGAAGGCAACUUGAUAAUAAUAUCGAUCUUAGUUAUGUCAACCUCAAUCCCUUUUCCAAAAAUUGUAUGCCCAAGGACUAUUCAUUACUUCACCAUGAAGUGACACUUUUCCCAAUUAAGGACCAAAAUUGUUUCAACACAUCAUUUCAAUACUUCCCCUAAAUGGUUCAUGCAUUCUUCAAAUGAGUCUCUUACAACAGAGAAAUAAUCCAUAAAACAUUCCAUAGACAACUCCACCAUAUCAGCAAAUAUUGACAAUAUGCACCUUUGGAUAGUGGUCCAUGCAUUGCACAGCCCAAAUGAUAUAUGUUUGAAGGUAAUAUCCCAUAAGAACAAGUAAAUGUGGUUUUUCUUGAUCCUUCGAUGUUAUAGAGAUUUGAAUGUAUCCCAAAUAACCAUCAAAGAAGCAAUACAACUCUUUUCCCACAAGACGAUCAAGUAUUUUUUCAAUAAAGGGCAUAGGUAAAUGGUCUUUCUUGGUCCACGACUUUAAUUUCAAGUAAUCCAUGCACACUUUCAACUGAGUCACUAGCCCAGUAACUAUAAGCUCACAAAUGCCUCUUUUUUUGGGGAUACAUUGAACCGAACAUACCUAUUGGAUGUCUGCAAUAGGAGAGAUCUAGUCUUCCAUUCUUUUUGGGCUUCCAUCAUCAAGGUAUGUGUGUACUCACCCAUGGAGUCCUUUCCUCCAUGGGGUCCCUAAGGUUUCCAAGUUCUACUUUCAAUUUCAAUUGGUUCAAGUUGGGGUUUCAAUCCAAUUUUAUGGGUUUUAUUACAUUGUGAUUGAUUGUUGUUGAAAAAGUCUCCACGUGAAUCAAUGUUAAUGCAUGAUAUUUAGUUGAACUUAUGUUGACCCAUUCUGAAAUAAUGAUUUCCUACUAUAAACCUAUGAUGAACCCAUGAACCUAUGCAUUAUUAAUUUAUGAAGAUAUGCAUGAUUUUAUGAAGUUAUUGUUGAUGAAUUUAUGAUGCUUUGAAGGAAAGUAUUGAUGCUAUUGUAAAAGGAUUUCUCACUUACUAUGAUGGUCAUGAUUGUGAAAGGUAUUUCUCACAAAUGAAUUCACAUUGGUGAAAGGUUUUCUCAUCCAUUUUUAAUUUUGUUUAAGGAGCUAUUCAACGUUUUGAUCUUGAAAGAUGUGGAUUGGUAAGUACCUUUCAUAUAUCAAACUGAUAAUUGACUUUCAUCUAUUUGACUAGAAUUUAGACUUAGCACCGAGAGAACUUGAGGUGGAGGCUCAAAUAGGAUAGUCUUUAGUAGCAACCUCUAGUCUAAAACUAUGUGACCCCAUAGAAUGUCUUAAAUUAAAGUACAUAGCUACUGGAUCCACUUUAGAAAAUGACGAUAUGUACUGAUUCUACCUUGAAAAGUAGAUUCCCCUUCUUUCGGUAUGAGGGAUAUACCAGAUUCCAUGAUAUAGCUACGAUGGUUUUAUUAUCGCUUAAAGCUAAGACCCCACAAAAUGAUUUUGUUUUCUUCAAGUUUUUGUUAUGUCCUUUAUUUCAAAUGCAUUGACUAUAUCCUAUGAUUUUCAUGUUUUACUUCCUCAUGUUUAAAAUGUCCAAAUAUUGAUCAUGUCUACAUGUUUUUAACCAUUUAUACAAUUAUAGUCAUGUGAAUGCAUACUACCUUAUACUUAGUACAUUCAAUGUACAAAUACAUACUUUUACCUACAUUAUCUCAUGUAUGUAGGAUCCGACUUUCCUACCCCGCACACUCAUGUUCUGAGGACCAAGAUACUUUAUAGCUUUAUGUCAUUUUAUUUUAGACUUUGUAUGUGAUGUAUGGGUUACGCCCCGAUUACUUUCCUUAUGAUGUAUUAGAUAGAUUUUAGACU